GUAUGUAUAGAUUAAGAUUUAAAUCGUAAAGCUGUUAACUUUAAGUUGUUUGAUUAGACUACAUUCG
rnacentral:tRNA from 1 species